rnacentral:lncRNA from 1 species
CGCAAGAUAUUUUGUGGUUUCUGUAGAAAACAACAAACCAAAGUGAUACACCAACAAUCAAAAGAGAAGAAGAAAACGGCAGUAAAGAAUGGAAGAAGGGUGAGCCUCCAAACUUAGGUUUAACAAUGUGAGUUACAAUGGUUUAUUUACUACAAUAUAAGAAAAUAUAAAAGACAAUACUACCCUUAACCUAAUCUAUAUAUUACAUUAACAUCUCUCCUCAAACUCACGAUGCUACAACGAAAAGCAACGGGAGUUUGACAAACAAAAAACAAAAACCAAAAACCGAAUGGGACUUCAUGAAGAUCAACAAGCUGCAACGAUGAACAACGAAAGAUAGGGUGAUGAUGCCAGACUGCAGAUAACCAAUGAAACCACACAAUCUCAGCUUAACCAAACGGAUGCAAAUUUCCAAAUGAACCAUAUCAAUUCCAAGAACUGACUAUGCCAAAUUCCAAACUCCAGAUAAACUGGACAAACGAAAUUUCCAAAUCCCGUGAAUCGGGCAUGCAAACGAAAUUUCCAAAUCCUGUGAACGAGCAUCGAAUGAAAUUUGCAUCACGAACUGAGCACACAAAUUUUCCAUCCCACGAACUGGGCAGAUACCAAAGCUAACACCACAUCCCUAUCUUUCUAGCCAAAAUGCACUCCUUUUAUUUUGGGAACCCAAAACAUAAUCUAACAACCCAUUAACCCAAUAAUCACUAACCCAGCAGGCCCAACACAAACUAACCAAUAUAUAUAAACCAAAACCCAAACAAUACCAAUAUCCAAACUAAAAUUCCAAUGCCAACAUGGCCCAUUCACCAAUCUACAGCCCACAAAUUUUGGCCCAAUUACAUCCAAAACCUGAUCCAAAUCUACAACAAUUUUUUGUCCAAUUAAAACAACUGGCCCAACAUAACAAAUCCAAAAACCCACACACCAAACCCAAUUCCAUCUCCAGCAGUCCAGUACCCAUCUACAGGCUACAGCCCAAUCCAAUUACAUCCAAAACCCUUCCCCUACAACGUCCAUAAAUCGAGCCAGAACCAGUCGCCGACCACCACCAGAAAAUGAAGCUACUGUGAUCUGCCACUUUUUUCAUUUUAAGUCCAACCACCCACUGUCCAAACAAAACACACAACUCAAGAUUCACAAUAAUUUCAAUGCACCUUCCAGGCUUCCACAAUAACAAACCACUAUCUCUAAUACAUACUGCCCAUAUUUCAACCUACCAGAUUUACUUUGAAAAUUGCCGAAAAACAAGCCACCAACCUGGACUAAAGUUCAAAUCUGACCAAAAAACUAGCCAUGGACGUACAACCCCAGCCGCUACGGAGCAAUACAUUAAAGCAGCAGCGCCAAAACCUGCCAUCUACCACAUCACCGGACCUCUAUGGCCACAACCCAUUCCGACAACCCACACACAAGAAGCUUCAACACAUCUAUUCCGACAACCAAAGCACCCACCAUGACCAAAACAUACAAACCAUAGAGAAACCAUUUACACCAUAGUGAUGUGGUUCACAGGAAGAGUCCGACCAAAACAAGUUUUAAACCACAGAGACUGAAGAAAUUUUUGACCGCCGGACGAGCUGCUCGAGGCCGCUCGCCGGACGAGCAAAGGCUUACAAAUUUAACCCAAGAAUCAAACCCGCUCUGAUACCAUGUAGAAAACAACAAACCAAAGUGAUACACCAACAAUCAAAAGAGAAGAAGAAAACGGCAGUAAAGAAUGGAAGAAGGGUGAGCC